GACGAACGCUGGCGGCGUGCUUAACACAUGCAAGUCGAGCGGAAAGGCCCUGCUUUUGUGGGGUGCUCGAGUGGCGAACGGGUGAGUAACACGUGAGUAACCUGCCCUUGACUUUGGGAUAACUUCAGGAAACUGGGGCUAAUACCGGAUAGGAGCUCCUGCUGCAUGGUGGGGGUGGGAAAGUUUCGGCGGUUGGGGAUGGACUCGCGGCUUAUCAGCUUGUUGGUGGGGUAGUGGCUUACCAAGGCUUUGACGGGUAGCCGGCCUGAGAGGGUGACCGGCCACAUUGGGACUGAGAUACGGCCCAGACUCCUACGGGAGGCAGCAGUGGGGAAUAUUGCACAAUGGGCGGAAGCCUGAUGCAGCAACGCCGCGUGCGGGAUGACGGCCUUCGGGUUGUAAACCGCUUUCGCCUGUGACGAAGCGUGAGUGACGGUAAUGGGUAAAGAAGCACCGGCUAACUACGUG
rnacentral:rRNA from 1 species